CCUACGGGAGGCAGCAGUGAGGAAUAUUGGUCAAUGGGCGUAAGCCUGAACCAGCCAAGCCGCGUGAGGGAUGAAGGUUCUAUGGAUCGUAAACCUCUUUUAUAAGGGAAUAAAGACUGGGACGUGUCCCGUGUUGUAUGUACCUUAUGAAUAAGGAUCGGCUAACUCCGUGCCAGCAGCCGCGGUAAUACGGAGGAUCCGAGCGUUAUCAGGAUUUAUUGGGUUUAAAGGGUGUGUAGGCGGCCUUUUAAUUCAGAGGUGAAAGGCUGUGGCUCAACCAGAGAAUUGCCGGUGAAACUGGGAGGCUUGAGUAUGUGUGAGGCAGGCGGAAUGCGUGGUGUAGCGGUGAAAUGCUGAGAUAUCGCGCAGAACCCCGAUUGCGAAGGCAGCCUGCCGGGCCAUGACUGACGCUGAUGCACGAAAGCGUGGGGAUCAAACAGGAUUAGAUACCCCAGUAGUC
rnacentral:rRNA from 1 species